rnacentral:rRNA from 1 species
GCUUGUCUCAAAGAUUAAGCCAUGCAUGUCUAAGAAUAAACCCCAGAAUGGUGAAUCUGCGAAUGGCUCAUUAAAUCAGUUAUUGUUUAUUUGAUGGUACCUUACUACAUGGAUAACCGUAGUAAUUCUAGAGCUAAUACAUGCAUCAAGCCCCGACUUCUGGAAGGGGUGUAUUUAUUAGAUGGAAACCAAUGCGGGGCAACCCGGUAUAUGGUGAUUCAUAAUAACUUUCGGAUCGAUUUAUCGAUGCAUCAUUCAAGUUUCUGCCCUAUCAGCUUUGGAUGGUAGGGUAUUGGCCUACCAUGGCUUUAACGGGUAACGGAGAAUUAGGGUUCGAUUCCGGAGAGGGAGCCUGAGAAAUGGCUACCACAUCCAAGGAAGGCAGCAGG